rnacentral:precursor_RNA from 1 species
UAUGUAUUUAAAUUAAAAUAAAUGAAAAAGUAGUAGUCAAAUAUGCAGAUCUAUGUCAUAUAUACAGAUAUGUAUAUGUGACUGCUACUUUUUUGUUUAAUUCUCUUACCCCUAUCUUU